CCUAGAGGAUUAAGAAGGCAGAGCCUAUUGAGCAAGGCUCUGCCGAUACUAUCCUCUUAGAGUAAUGAGAUGGAGAGAGGGGCCCAGCUUGCAGGAGAGCAGGGGCCUCACUGUACCAUCCAACAACC